rnacentral:tRNA from 1 species
GCGGCGGUAGUCUAGCCUGGUUUAAGGGGGCAUAGCCCCGACUACGGAUGGCGGCCUCCCAAGCCGCUGAUCCCGGGAGGGGGUCCCCCCGGGAGUUCGAAUCCCGGCCGCCGCACCA